AAGACCUUGCACUUUUGGAGCGGCCGAUGUCUGAUUAGCUAGUUGGUGGGGUAAUGGCCUACCAAAGCUUCGAUCAGUAGCUGGUCUGAGAGGACGGCCAGCCACACUGGGACUGAGACACGGCCCAGACUCCUACGGGAGGCAGCAGUGGGGAAUUUUGGACAAUGGGCGCGAGCCUGAUCCAGCCAUGCCGCGUGAGUGAAGAAGGCCUUCGGGUUGUAAAGCUCUUUCAGCCGGGAAGAAAAGGUUGCGAUUAAUAAUCGUAAUUUAUGACGGUACCGGAAGAAGAAGCACCGGCUAACUACGUGCCAGCAGCCGCGGUAAUACGUAGGGUGCGAGCGUUAAUCGGAAUUACUGGGCGUAAAGGGUGCGCAGGCGGUUUUGUAAGUCAGAUGUGAAAUCCCCGGGCUUAACCUGGGAACU
rnacentral:rRNA from 1 species